rnacentral:rRNA from 1 species
GAAAGUAUAUAAAGAGACUAUUAGGGAUACCUAGCUAUAUAUUAAAGAGAGUAAGUUAUAAACCGUUUAAGUUGUGUAUGCGAUAAAAUGUUACACAUGAACUCUUAGAGAAAUUCAGUAAUAAACGAAGUGAAUUGAAAUAUCUUAGUAACUUCAGGAAAAGAAAUCAAACGAGAUUCUAUGAUUAGUGUGAAUGAAAGUAGAAAAGCCUACAUAUAUUUUAUAAGUAAUAUACAAAAAAAAGUUGUUAUAAAAAAUAUAUAAAUAAGUAAAACGGGCAAAACCUGUUUGAAUAUAAAGGGGAACCUUCCUCUAAGGCUAAAUAUAAUAUAUAAGCGACAGCGUAUAGUACUGUGAAGGAAAGGUUUGAAAUAGUAGUCUUAUAAGCAGCUCGAGUAAAGUUUAAAUAAAAAGUAAGAGCGUACCUUUUGCAUAAUGGGUCAGCGAGUUAAUAUUAGAUGCGAGCAGUAAUGCCCAGAUAAACCAAUUAUGAAAUAAUGAAUUAGUAUCUAAAAUUAGACCCGAAGCCUGGUGAUCUUACUACAGUCAGGGUUAUAAAAGCCCGAACGGGUUAUCGUUGUAAAGAUAUCCGAAGAACUGUGGUAAGUUAGUGAAAGACAACACUGACUAGGAUAGCUGGUUUUCUGCGAAACCUAUAUAAGUAGGUAAUUCAAGGUACAUCAUAGCAGGUACAGAACUGUGAUCUCAGGCAACUUCUAUCUUAUUAUUAUAUUGGCGUAAGCUAUAUGAUAAAGGGAUAAUUUUGCAUAUAUCGGGCAAUCGUGAAGAUUUUAUCGGUGAGUAUUCGCACUCGGAAGGGCAAUGAUGAAUAUUGAAUAAUCGGACAUAGUACGAUAAGGUUGUAUGUCUAAAGGGAAACAGCCCAGAACAAGAGUUAAGGUUCCAAAAUUAUUGUUAAGUGAAAUUAAGGAAGUUUCUAUCUAAUACGACUAGGAAAUAGGCUUAGAAGCGGUCCAUUUUUUGAAGAUCUCGUAACAGAGCACUGGUUUAAUAAAUAAACGCUUGCGUUUAAUUUAUAUUGAUAGUUGCACCGAAAAUUUAACGGAUCUAAACAAUAUACCGACACCUUGUCCAUAUUUAUUAAUAAUUUAUUAUUAUAUUUAAUGGGGUAGCAGAACGUUGGGUAAAUCUAAGACUUAUUCUUUUUAAGAAUGAAUAUAUGAUAACCCAAGUGAGAAUGCUGACAUGAGUAACGAAAAAGGGAAAAAUCCCUCGCCUAAAGCUUAUGGUUUUAAUAAAGUAACGGCCUCUAAGUUUACCAACCUAAGGGAUUAAACGAUGAGUAAAUCUUUGUUACACAGUAACAACCUUCUUUUUAAUCUAAAUUACGUAAGUAAUAUAUUUGAAAAGAAAAAUAAAGUGAAGAAGGUUCUGGAAAAACAGUAACUCUAUAUAUGAUUGUAAUAAACUGAAAUAGAUGAGCAAUCACUAUACAUAUAGAGAAGAUAAACCGUACCUAAAGACUACCCCCAGUAAGCUAGUAGAGAAUACGAAGGCGUUUGAGUGAACAAUCAUUAAGGAACUCGGCAAACUAACUACCGUAACUUCGGGAUAAGGAGAGCCAUUCCUCCUAAUUAAUAUUAGGUUAAGAAUAGGAAGCAUGGAAUAGUGUUGUACGACUGUUUAAUUAAAACAAAGCACUCUGCAGUAAGAUAAUAAAUCAAAGUAUUGAGUGUGAUUUCUGCCCGAUGUCGGCUGGUUAACGGAUUUGCUAAGUUGACUAAUAUAAGCUUGGCUUUGAAGGAAACCCCGAUCAAUGGCGGCCUUACCUAUGAGGGUCCUAAGGUAGCGGAAUACCCUGGCCGUUAAAUGCGGUCUUGCAUGAAUGAUUUAACGAUACAACAGCUGUCUCAAUGAUUGGCUCAGUGAAAUUGGAAUAACUGUGCAGAUACAGUUUACCUCUAGUUAGACGAGAAGACCCUAUGCAGCUUUACUGUUGCUAGUUAUUGAAUAUGAUACUGCGAAUUUUAGUUAUAAGGUAGUGUUAACACAAUUGAAACACCUUUAUUUAGUUUAUCAUAUUGGUAGAUUUUCUACGUGAAAGUCUCAAACUUCUUUUGCUUCUGCAAGAGAUUUGAGAUAAUCAUUAACCUUCUUUGAAGGAACAAUUGCUAGGAGGCAGUUUAUGCGGGGCACAGAUCCCAUAAAAAGUACCUGGGUGUAUCCAAAGUUAAUUUUGUAAAAUUGUCAUAUAAUUAUGACAAUUAAAUAUACUAAUGAUGUAUAUU